CACGUAGGGGGCAAGCGUUGUCCGGAUUUAUUGGGCGUAAAGAGCUCGUAGGCGGCUUAGUAAGUCGGGUGUGAAACCUCCAGGCUCAACCUGGAGACGCCACCCGAUACUGCUGUGGCUAGAGUCCGGUAGGGGAGCGUGGAAUUCCUGGUGUAGCGGUGAAAUGCGCAGAUAUCAGGAGGAACACCAGCGGCGAAGGCGGGCGCUCUGGGCCGGUACUGACGCUGAGGAGCGAAAGCGUGGGGAGCAAACAGG
rnacentral:rRNA from 1 species